rnacentral:rRNA from 1 species
UACGAAGGGGGCUAGCGUUGCUCGGAAUUACUGGGCGUAAAGGGCGCGUAGGCGGCUUGCCAAGUCAGGCGUGAAAUUCCCGGGCUCAACCUGGGGGCUGCGCUUGAUACUGGCUGGCUUGAAUGCGGGAGAGGAUGGUGGAAUUCCCAGUGUAGAGGUGAAAUUCGUAGAUAUUGGGAAGAACACCAGUGGCGAAGGCGGCUCACUGGCCCGUAACUGACGCUGAGGUGCGAAAGCGUGGGGAGCAAACAGG